rnacentral:rRNA from 1 species
GGAUUAGAUACCCUGGUAGUCCACGCAGUAAAUGGUGAGUACUGGAUGUUGGUUGCUCUUCGGAGUAAUUAGUAUCGAAGCUAACGCGUUAAGUACUCCGCCUGGGGAUUACGGUCGCAAGAUUAAAACUCAAAGGAAUUGACGGGGGCCCGCACAAGCGGUGGAGCAUGUGGUUUAAUUCGAUGCAACGCGAAGAACCUUACCAGCCCUUGACAUCCUCGGAACUUACUAGAGAUAGUUUGGUGCCUUCGGGAACCGAGUGACAGGUGCUGCAUGGCUGUCGUCAGCUCGUGCCG